rnacentral:rRNA from 1 species
UGGGGAAUCUUCCGCAAUGGACGAAAGUCUGACGGAGCAACGCCGCGUGGGUGACGAAGGUUUUCGGAUCGUAAAACCCUGUCAAGAAGGAAGAAAAAAGACGGUACUUCUGAAGGAAGCCCCGGCUAACUACGUGCCAGCAGCCGCGGUAAUACGUAGGGGGCAAGCGUUGUCCGGAAUCACUGGGCGUAAAGCGCUCGUAGGCUGUUUGUUAAGUCAGAGGUGAAAUCCCACGGCUCAACCGUGGAACUGCCUUUGAUACUGGCAGACUAGAAUCCGGGAGAGGGUGGCGGAAUUCCAGGUGUAGGAGUGAAAUCCGUAGAUAUCUGGAGGAACAUCAGUGGCGAAGGCGGCCACCUGGACCGGUAUUGACGCUGAGGAGCGAAAGCGUGGGGAGCAAACA